GACGAACGCUGGCGGCGUGCUUAACACAUGCAAGUCGAACGGAAAGGCCCUGCUUUUGUGGGGUGAUCGAUGGGCGAACGGGUGAGUAACACGUGAGUAACGUGCCCUUGACUUUGGGAUAACUUCAGGAAACUGGGGCUAAUACAGGAUAGGAGCCCACGCUGCGUGGUGGGGGUGGGAAAGUUUCAGCGGUUGGGGAUGGAUUGGCGGAUGAUGAACUUGUUGGUGGGGUAGGGGCUUACCAAGGCUGGGAAGGGUAGGCCGCAUGGGAGCGUGAACAGCCUCCUUGGUACUGAGAGACGGCGCAGAGUCCUACAGUAGGCAGCAGUCGCGAAUCUUGCCCAAUCGGCGCGCGCCUGUUGCAGCGACGCCGCGUUCGGGAUGCCGUCCUUUGGGUUGUGAACCGCUUUCGCCUGUGACGCAGCGGGAGUGACGGUAAUGGGUAAAGAAGCACCGGCUAACUUCGUG
rnacentral:rRNA from 1 species